CAAAUACAGGGACAAUGAGACUUUGGUUGUAUCUCGUUCUCAUUGCAGCAGCGUUUGAAGGUGCCUGGUCGCAGGUCCAGCUGGUGGAGUCUGGAGGGGAUGUGAGAAAGCCCGGAGACUCUCUCCGCCUCUCCUGCAAAGCCUCCGGCUUCACCUUCAGCAGCUACUACAUGAGCUGGGUCCGUCAGGCUCCCGGGAAAGGACUGGAGUGGAUCGCCAGCAUUUACAGCACCAGCAUAUACUACAGUGACUCGGUAAAAGGGCGAUUCACCGUCUCCAGAGAUGACCCCAACAGCCUGUUGUACCUGCAGAUGACCGGCCUGAAGCCCGAGGACACCGCCCGGUAUUACUGUGCGAGAGACACAGUGAGGGGAAUCCCGAUACUGCUCAUACAAAAACUCAAGCUGCAGAAUCGUCCUUCCGCCAUGCGCCGCGUGGGGGCAGCACUUCCACAAACAAUCCAGCCCUGGGCACAGGAACGGGAGCUACAACCAGAGUGA